rnacentral:lncRNA from 1 species
AGCCGAGCCGGCAGCAGAUUCACUCGCGUUCCUCUUCUUCUCUCCCACUAUGAACCCUAGCCGCCGCUCACCACCCGCCGCUUUGGUCCGCCCAAUGCCCUGUGAGACGUGAGUCCCCAACAUGCAGCGAGGCGCGCCACGCGCCCCUAAUCGAUGAAGGCCAGUGCUCCGAGCCACGGCCCUGACCGGUGAAGAACGGCACCCCACACUGCCAUCCUCGACCCCUCAUUGGUCCCUUCACUACCAGUGACGCGGUCAUCAGCCGCGAGUGGUCCACCUCCCGACGACCGGUUCAAUAGCUGCAGUCCUCUUCCAUGUUGUUCGCCUGCUUGGCGCCUACUGACCUCUUUCUGUUCUUCACAUCAUAGCUAAUGGUAAGCAAGCUACUUCACCCCUCUAUGAACAUCCUUUAUUCCUAGGAAAAUAAGCACUACUGCAGGUAUUUUGUAGGUAAUACAUACCCUUGCUUUGUGUCAAAUGUUAGCACGUGGAGACAACAAGUUGAACUCUGUACUGUUCUUAACUAGAGGAAGCAAAUAAGAUGCACAUUGCCCUUGCUUUGUGUCUCAUGAAAAAAAGUUUUAGUUGCCCGGGAGAUUAUUUACAUGGAAGCAAAUGUGUUCAAACAUUUACAUCUCAACAAAUUAUGGCCUUUUAAUCUGUUGAUGCCAGUUAAUAUGAUAUCAAAUAUCCUUCUUGUAGUGAAAUUAAUAAUGUGUGCAUGACCUCUUGAAUCUUGCUAACAAUAAUGCCCAACAUAAUAGCCAUCUAAAUAUGCAUGUCUUAUUAUGUUUAUGUGGCUAGUUCUUUUUUCUUUUCAUUAUAGUCAAAUUGUAUUACUGCUAUCUGCUCUAUGUGCAUCUAAUAAUGAGUAACUUUCUCUUUUUAGAUGUUAUCUGUAGCUGAAUCUAAACAUCAUGAUGAGGAGUUGAAUGAGAGAGAUGAUGCCUAUAUAGAGGCAGAUGCAGAUUCAUGAGCAUCUUCUGUAGUCAUCUGGGUUGUUCCGCAGACAUGGACCCUCUUAUUGCUAUCUGAUCUAUGUAUCAACAUUGAAUCGGCCUUGCAAAUGGAAGAUUUGUUUUCAAUUUAUUUCUGCAUGUUGGCUUUUGUCCGCGCAUGUUAAAUCCUGAGUACAUAAUUCAUAUGUACACAGUAGUGCAUCCGUGCUUGUUUCCUGAUACUAGAUAUAUACAUGGUGUAUAUCAUUUGUACAGAGCAUGUAUAUGUAAAUCUCUUUGUUAUUUCUAGGCAUUAUUAGAGCAGAUCUCAACAAAAGCACAAGAUUAUGUUCUAUUUGCGUCAUCUUGUAGUAAUCUAGAAAUUUGUACUAGGUACUAAUUGCAUUUGGCAUCAACCAAACACACUUCUUACUUUGUGUUAAAUAUGAAUCUUGUUACUUUCAGUCAAAUGUAAAAAUGUAUUGGUAUUGGAAUCUUAUUACUUUGUGUCCUACCAUAAUAGCAAUUAAUUUGGUCUGCUUGGUCGGGACCGAAGACCGAACAGUAAAGACCGAAGACCAAAUAGUGAAUAGCCAAAAAGACCAAAAUUAUUUUGGUCUUCAAUUAUGAAGACCGAAUUCUUGGAAGACCAAAAAGAUUG